rnacentral:rRNA from 1 species
AACCGUGCCCCACUAGUCUGGGAUACCACUUGGAAACAGGUGCUAAUACCGGAUAAGAAAGCAGAUCGCAUGAUCAGCUUUUAAAAGGCGGCGUAAGCUGUCGCUAUGGGAUGGCCCCGCGGUGCAUUAGCUAGUUGGUAAGGUAAAGGCUUACCAAGGCGAUGAUGCAUAGCCGAGUUGAGAGACUGAUCGGCCACAUUGGGACUGAGACACGGCCCAA